rnacentral:rRNA from 1 species
AUUGAACGCUGGCGGCAGGCCUAACACAUGCAAGUCGAACGAGUGGCGGACGGGUGAGUAAUGUCUGGGAAACUGCCCGAUGGAGGGGGAUAACUACUGGAAACGGUAGCUAAUACCGCCUACCAUCGGAUGUGCCCAGAUGGGAUUAGCUCGUAGGUGGGGUAACGGCUCACCUGGGCGACGAUCCCUAGCUGGUCUGAGAGCAUGACCAGGCAGCCGGGAACUGAGACACGUUCCAGACUCCUACGUGAGGCAGCAGUGGGGAAUAUUGCACAAUGGGCGGAAGCCUGAUGCAGCCAUGCCGCGUGUAUGAAGAAGGCCGUCGGGUUGUAAAGUACUUUCAGCGAGGAGGCGUUACUCGCAGAAGAAGCACCGGCUAACUCCGUGCCAGCAGCCGCGGUAAUUC